rnacentral:rRNA from 1 species
CUUUUGACCUCGGAUCAGGUAGGGAUACCCGCUGAACUUAAGCAUAACAAUAAGCGGAGGAAAA